rnacentral:rRNA from 1 species
CACGUAGGGCGCAAGCGUUGUCCGGAAUUAUUGGGCGUAAAGAGCUCGUAGGCGGUCUGUUGCGUCCGCUGUGAAAACCCGGGGCUUAACCCCUGGCUUGCAGUGGAUACGGACAGACUAGAGGUAGGUAGGGGAGAAUGGAAUUCCCGGUGUAGCGGUGAAAUGCGCAGAUAUCGGGAGGAACACCGGUGGCGAAGGCGGUUCUCUGGGCCUUACCUGACGCUGAGGAGCGAAAGCGUGGGGGGCGAACAGG